rnacentral:rRNA from 1 species
AUACAGAGGGUGCGAGCGUUAAUCAGAAUUACUGGGCGUAAAGCGCGCGUAGGCGGUUAUUUAAGUCAGAUGUGAAAUCCCUGGGCUCAACCUAGGAACUGCAUCUGAAACUGGGUAACUAGAGUUUAGGAGAGGGGAGUAGAAUUUCGGGUGUAGCGGUGAAAUGCAUAGAGAUCCGAAGGAAUACCAGUGGCGAAGGCGACUCCCUGGCCUAGAACUGACGCUGAGGUGCGAAAGCGUGGGUAGCAAACGGGAUUAGAAACCCCAGUAGUCC